GAUGAACGCUAGCUACAGGCUUAACACAUGCAAGUCGAGGGGAAACGGCAUUGAGUGCUUGCACUCUUUGGACGUCGACCGGCGCACGGGUGAGUAACGCGUAUCCAACCUUCCCAUUACUGUGGGAUAACCUGCCGAAAGGCAGACUAAUACCGCAUAGUCUUCGAUGACGGCAUCAGAUUUGAAGUAAAGAUUUAUCGGUAAUGGAUGGGGAUGCGUCUGAUUAGCUUGUUGGCGGGGUAACGGCCCACCAAGGCUACGAUCAGUAGGGGUUAUGAGAGGAAGGUCCCCCACAUUGGAACUGAGACACGGUCCAAACUCCUACGGGAGGCAGCAGUGAGGAAUAUUGGUCAAGGGACGGAAGUCUGAACCAGCCAAGUAGCGUGCAGGAGGACGGCCCUAUGGGUUGUAAACUGCUUUUGUAUGGGGAUAAAGUUAGGGACGGGUCCCUAUUUGCAGGUACCAUACGAAUAAGGACCGGCUAAUUCCGUG
rnacentral:rRNA from 1 species